rnacentral:rRNA from 1 species
GCCUCAGUAACGGCGAGUGAAGCGGCAAUAGCUCAAAUUUGAAAUCUGGCCUCUCGGGGUCCGAGUUGUAAUUUGUAGAGGAUGUUUUGGGUACCGCCCCGGUUUAAAUUUCUUGGAACAGAAUGUCAAAGAGGGUGAGAAUCCCGUCUUGGACCGGCGGUAGGGCCUAUGUAAAACUCCUUCGACGAGUCGAGUUGUUUGGGAAUGCAGCUCAAAAUGGGUGGUAAAUUUCAUCUAAAGCUAAAUAUUGGCCAGAGACCGAUAGCGCACAAGUAGAGUGAUCGAAAGAUGAAAAGCACUUUGAAAAGAGAGUUAAACAGUAUGUGAAAUUGUUGAAAGGGAAGCGCUUACAACCAGACUUGAGCGCGGCGGUUCCCCUAGCCUUUUGGCUAGGUUACUCCGCCGUGUCCAGGCCAACAUCGGUUCUGAGGGUCGGUCAAAGGCCCUGGGAAUGUAUCUACCUACGGGUAGACUUAUAGACCAGGGUGUCAUGCGGCCUCUCGGGACCGAGGAACGCGCUUCGGCUCGGAUGUUGGCGUAAUGGUUGUCAGCGACCCGUCUUGAAACACGGACCAAGGAGUCUAACAUCUAUGCGAGUGUUUGGGUGUCAAACCCGGAACGCGGAAUGAAAGUGAACGGAGGUAGGAAGCUUCGGCUGCACUAUCGACCGAUCCUGAAGUUUACGGAUGGAUUUGAGUAAGAGCAUAGCUGUUGGGACCCGAAAGAUGGUGAACUAUGCCUGAAUAGGGUGAAGCCAGAGGAAACUCUGGUGGAGGCUCGCAGCGGUUCUGACGUGCAAAUCGAUCGUCAAAUUUGGGUAUAGGGGCGAAAGACUAAUCGAACCAUUAGUAGUUACCGGUGGUUGAGUGUAACCCUGAAAGUGGUUGCAAGUGCCUAAUUCUGGCGCGACACUGUCAAAUUGCGGGGACUCCCUAAAGCUUUGGCGACCGCCUUACCUAUGAAAAUAGGGUUUGGCACCAGGUUAAUGACCUCGGGUACGGUAAAACUGCCAAAGAUGUAACAAUGGGUAAUCUGCAGCCAAGUCCUUAGGGCUCUCGUUAGCCUAUGGAUGCAGUUCACAGACUAAAUGGCAGUGGGCUCCUAUAUGAGCUUAAGAUAUAGUCGGUCCCCCGGGGAGACCCGGGCGCAUACGCUAAAUCCAAAGUGAAGAAUUCCGCCUCGGCGGUCACCUUGGACCUGAACGAUGCGGGCACCCUUCGG